GCCAGGGGCUGGGGACUCAGAGAUAAUAGGGUUAGAAUCAGCCCACAGUUGAAGGGGAUGGAGCGGGGCUUUCACAGAAAUCAUUAACAUUGUUUUCUCCUUUCUUCAUUUGUUCAUCCUUUCAAUUCCUGCUCUGGUGGGACAUGGGGCUGGGCUGGAGGAUACAUGAGGAGGAAGACAGAUCAGGUUCCCGGCCUCCCAGAGGUCCUGCCCCGACACUGUUCGCCCUCAGAGCCUGAGACGCCAAGAUGGCGUGCAGGAAGCUCGCAAAACUAUCCAUGAGCAGGAACGUGGAUAGAGACAGCCACUGAACCGAUAAUUGCAUGGGUCGUUAGUGACCAAUUGUCCUAAGAGCUAAGGAAGAGAAGCACGACGGGGAGGGUGCCCGAGAAAACAAAACAGGUGACAACCCUACGGGCAUCCGAGAAGUCUUCCCAAGGAAGUGACGUUCACAAUGACGCUUGAAGUUGUAUAUCAUAGUUGCAGGUCCUUCUAGUUGUGGGACGUGGGACGCCGCCUCAACGUGGCCUGACAAGCGGUGCCAUGUCCACGCCCAGGAUCCAAACCCUGGGCCGCCGCAGCGGAGCGCGCGAACUUAACCACUCAGCCAUGGAGCCGGCCCCAGUUAUUCCUCAUAGGAGCACUGCGAAGGAAAUCUUAUCAACCCCACUUGACAGAUGAAGAAACAGAGGCUCAGAAACUACAAGCAACCCACUUGGAUUUACCCACCCAGUCAGUCGGCAGAGUCAGGAUUGGAACCCAGAUCUAUGUGCUUCCAAAACCUACACUGUUUCCUAUAGGCUAUGAUGUCCCCAGUUCAGAAUUUCAACUUCGACAAAACAACUUUGAUCUGGAGAGUCCCACCCCUCGGUAUUGCCUCCAGGAAUCUCACGAGUGUAUCCACUCUGUAAACAUCGUGGUGACGGUGCUCCUGAAGGGCCAGCAUCCAUUUCCAGAACAUCUAACAUGUGCCAUCCCCUAGAUGCGUUACUUAAAUUAUUUCACAUCUUUAUGCUGCUCUGCAAGUAGGUAUUAUUCUCCUCAUUAUGCAGAUAAUGGACACAGAGUCUCAGA
rnacentral:lncRNA from 1 species